rnacentral:snRNA from 1 species
UGGCUUUGACAGCUGAGACACUAAAAUUAGAACAGAGAUUAUCUUGGCUCCUGUGCCAGGACGACAUGCAAAUUCAUGAGGCAUCCUAUAUUUUU